CUCUCGGCAACGGAUAUCUCGGCUCUCGCAUCGAUGAAGAACGUAGCGAAAUGCGAUACUUGGUGUGAAUUGCAGAAUCCCGUGAACCAUCGAGUCUUUGAACGCAAGUUGCGCCCGAAGCCUUCUGGUUGAGGGCACGCCUGCCUGGGCGUC
rnacentral:rRNA from 1 species